GGUCAUCUCAGCUUCCAGCUGCUACUGAAAAUGAUGUGAACAAAGGAAGUGGAUAGCAGAAUAAAAAUGUGGAUUUGCCAGCUAACUUAGCGAGCUUGAAAGAAACCCCUGCUGAAGAUGGUGCUGCUGACAAGGGCAUCAAGGAGGGGCCCCAAGUGAUGAACAGAUUAAGGAAUGUAAAGUGAAACGGAAGUGGAGCUGCUUCUCUCAUGCUUCGUGAUGGUUCGCUUGGUCGUGUAGCUUAGUGUAAUGGAACACUGUUUAACCUACUGAGUCCCAAGUGUCCAAUCACCUCUGGAAUUACCGUUACUAUUGUUUAACCAAUAGCAAUUAAUCAGCUGGUAUCGCCGUAUCAGUAGCAUUUGCGUCCCUGAAUGUGUUUCAUUUCAUCUUUUGCGUUUGAGCUGGUUCUUGAUGGCACUUUGCAAUGUCGAUAAUUGAUAGGCCAUGGCUUAUUUGCUCA